rnacentral:rRNA from 1 species
UACGAAGGGGGCUAGCGUUGCUCGGAAUCACUGGGCGUAAAGCGCACGUAGGCGGCUUUUUAAGUCAGGGUGAAAUCCUGGAGCUCAACUCCAGAACUGCCUUUGAUACUGAGAAGCUUGAGUCCGGGAGAGGUGAGUGGAACUGCGAGUGUAGAGGUGAAAUCGUAGAUAUUCGCAAGAACACCAGUGGCGAAGGCGGCUCACUGGCCCGGUACUGACGCUGAGGUGCGAAAGCGUGGGGAGCA